rnacentral:rRNA from 1 species
CCUACGGGAGGCAGCAGUAAGGAAUAUUGGUCAAUGGAGGCAACUCUGAACCAGCCAUGCCGCGUGCAGGAAGACUGCCCUAUGGGUUGUAAACUGCUUUUAUCCGGGAAUAAACCUACUUACGUGUAAGUAGCUGAAUGUACCGGAAGAAUAAGGAUCGGCUAACUCCGUGCCAGCAGCCGCGGUAAUACGGAGGAUCCAAGCGUUAUCCGGAUUUAUUGGGUUUAAAGGGUGCGUAGGCGGCCUGUUAAGUCAGGGGUGAAAGACGGUAGCUCAACUAUCGCAGUGCCCUUGAUACUGAUGGGCUUGAAUGGACUAGAGGUAGGCGGAAUGAGACAAGUAGCGGUGAAAUGCAUAGAUAUGUCUCAGAACACCGAUUGCGAAGGCAGCUUACUAUGGUCUUAUUGACGCUGAGGCACGAAAGCGUGGGGAUCAAACAGGAUUAGAUACCCUGGUAGUCCACGCCCUAAACGAUGAACACUCGCUGUUGGCGAUACACAGUCAGCGGCUAAGCGAAAGCGUUAAAGNGUUCCACCUGGGGAGUACGCCGCAAGGUUGAAACUCAAANAGAGUGAGNGNGAGAGNGCGAGACGACGACGAGGAGGAGG